CAUUGCGUUUACAUUGCGUGCUGCAAGCUAGUGUUUGUGUUGGUGCGACGCUUUAAAUGGCGUUUUAAGUGAAAUUAAAAUGACGGAUGUGCUGUAAUUUGCACACUCACGCUCGCUCAAUAAAUACAACAAAAGCAAGAAUCAAGAGGAAUAAAUAAUAACAACACACGCUGUUUGGUGGGGCGUUGUGCAUACACACACAUACUAUACAUAAAUAUUUUGUAGCAUGUGCCUUAGUUGAUCGAAUUAAGUGCGAGUUUUAUAGCGCCCGCGGGACCGGGAACUGCAAUUGACUGCCGGCCGACUGAGCAACCGGAAAUGCAAGCACCCCUCAUCCCCUCUACCAUCCCUGCUUUCCACCACCCAAACAACAACAACAAGUGUAACACCCCCGCCCAGGAAACGGCGGCAAUAAGUGCUAAUAAGUGAGCCGCAGACUAUAACUAAAACCGGAUGCAGGGCCACUAGUAAUUGCCAAUUUUAGUCUUUAGUCGUCUCCCUACUGAAUUUUGUUCUUCUCUUUGAACAAUUGGAAAAAUCUGUUGGUUUUUUGGAUUUUAGUUUUUCCAUUUUUUUUUAGUCAUGCUUAGGCGACUCAUAAUAUAUUUGCCUAAGUAACUUCGUCACGCACUGCGCGCGCGCUGCAUUCGUUACACCACUAAAAUGCGGCUUUUGCUUCUGCUACGGUGGCCCCCCUCCCAAAAAAGGGUCGCCCCCCUGCGCCAUCGAAACGCCGCCAGUUGAAGGCACACACAAAAACAAGCAACAGAAAAUAAAUAAAAAUAAAAAUAAAUAAUACAAAGAAGCGCAGGCGAAGAAAAUAAAGGGGCACAAAAACCCAAGGUGCGUUGCACUCGUUUUGUCAUUGAUUCCGCGGAUGCGAAAUAGCAUGCGGCAGUUGCAAGAGAGAAAAAAGAAGCCAACGGGCAACAGCUGCUGCGACAAAAGCCAGGCCAAAAGCAAAAGCCAAAACCAAAACAGCGAUUAUUUCAAGCAUCCGCCUCCACUUUCCCCCCACAACCCUCCACCACCCCCCGCUCUGCAAAACUGGCAACGGAAAAACCCUUGCUGCCUGUCUUUUGUAACGUGGCCAGAACGUUGCCAGGCAAUUAUUAUUUUGUAAGACGUUUUACAAUUUAAUGGUUUUCAUGAAUGGACUUGGAUCCGACCCUCUGUCAGCAAAGGAGGCAGAGGGCCCUCCGGUUCAGGUUGAACCAGUUGAUUUGAGCUUACGUUCGCCGCGCGGUAAGUUGCUAAUUAUACGCUA